rnacentral:rRNA from 1 species
CCUACGGGUGGCUGCAGUGGGGAAUAUUGGACAAUGGGGGGAACCCUGAUCCAGCCAUGCCGCGUGUGUGAAGAAGGCCCUCGGGUUGUAAAGCACUUUCAGUGAGGAAGAACGCCUGGUGGUUAAUACCCAUCAGGAAAGACAUCACUCACAGAAGAAGCACCGGCUAACUCCGUGCCAGCAGCCGCGGUAAUACGGAGGGUGCGAGCGUUAAUCGGAAUUACUGGGCGUAAAGCGCGCGUAGGUGGCUUGAUAAGCCGGUUGUGAAAGCCCCGGGCUCAACCUGGGAACGGCAUCCGGAACUGUCAAGCUAGAGUGCAGGAGAGGAAGGUAGAAUUCCCGGUGUAGCGGUGAGAUGCGUAGAGAUCGGGAGGAAUACCAGUGGCGAAGGCGGCCUUCUGGACUGACACUGACACUGAGGUGCGAAAGCGUGGGUAGCAAACAGGAUUAGAUACCCCAGUAGUC